GGCUGACGCAUUUGAUAGCCUCCUCCCAAUGCCAUCGCGUUGGCUGUUCCCCUCUGGAGGUUUUGACCUUCGCACCUGAAAGGGCCCCGGUCUUCCGGCGGCCCUAUUUU
rnacentral:sRNA from 1 species